rnacentral:rRNA from 1 species
UACGUAGGGUGCGAGCGUUAAUCGGAAUUACUGGGCGUAAAGCGUGCGCAGGCGGUUCGUCGUGUCAGCUGUGAAAGCCCCGGGCUCAACCUGGGAAUUGCGGUUGAAACUGGCGAACUAGAAUCUGGCAGAGGGGGGUGGAAUUCCACGUGUAGCAGUGAAAUGCGUAGAGAUGUGGAGGAACACCGAUGGCGAAGGCAGCCCCCUGGGCUGAGAUUGACGCUCAGGCACGAAAGCGUGGGGAGCAAACAGG